GCCCUAGUAACGGCGAGUGAAGCGGCAAUAGCUCAAAUUUGAAAUCUGGUCUCCUUUGGGGGCCCGAGUUGUAAUUUGCAGAGGGCGCUUUGGCGUUGACAGCGGUCUAAGUUCCUUGGAACAGGACGUCACAGAGGGUGAGAAUCCCGUACGUGGUCGCCUGUCUUCGCCGUGUAAAGCCCCUUCGACGAGUCGAGUUGUUUGGGAAUGCAGCUCUAAAUGGGAGGUAAAUUUCUUCUAAAGCUAAAUACUGGCCAGAGACCGAUAGCGCACAAGUAGAGUGAUCGAAAGAUGAAAAGCACUUUGGAAAGAGAGUCAAACAGCACGUGAAAUUGUUGAAAGGGAAGCGCUUGCAGCCAGACGUGCCCGUGGUGGUUCUCCUCCGCGGGCAGGCCAGCAUCAGUUCGGGCGGUCGGAUAAAGGCCUCUGUCACGUAUCUACCUUCGGGUUGACCUUAUAGGGGAGGCGUAAUGCGAUCAGCUCGGACUGAGGUCCGCGCAUCUGCUAGGAUGCUGGCGUAAUGGCUGUAAGCGGCCCGUCUUGAAACACGGACCAAGGAGUCUAACAUCUAUGCGAGUGUUUGGGUGUCAAGCCCGGGCGCGCAAUGAAAGUGAACGGAGGUGGGAACCCUUUCUUGGGGUGCACCAUCGACCGAUCCUGAAGUCUUCGGAUGGAUUUGAGUAAGAGCAUAGCUGUUGGGACCCGAAAGAUGGUGAACUAUGCUUGAAUAGGGUGAAGCCAGAGGAAACUCUGGUGGAGGCUCGCAGCGGUUCUGACGUGCAAAUCGAUCGUCAAAUUUGGGCAUAGGGGCGAAAGACUAAUCGAACUAUCUAGUAGCU
rnacentral:rRNA from 1 species